rnacentral:rRNA from 1 species
AUGGCCGCGGCGGCGAAGCUGACGCGGAGCUUCUCGCGGCAGCUGUCGUCGGGGGCGGCGCGGGUGUGGCGCCAGCUGUCGCUGGAGCCGCACACCCCGCGGCGUGGGGCGGCCGCGGCGACGGGGGCCGUGGCGGCGGCGGGGCCGACCAGGUUCGGCCUAGCGAGGCAGUCGUCGCUCGACCCGACGCCGGCGCCCGAUGACGGGGCGGUGCUGGCCAUGCCGGAGAACCUGGACGCCACCAUGCGGCUGCUGUACGCGGCGUGCCAGGGGGACGCGGCCGGCGUGGAGGAGCUGCUCAGGGAAGGGGUGGACGUCGACAGCAUUGACUUCGACGGCCGCACGGCGCUGCACAUCACCGCCUGCGAGGGCCGGGGGGAGGUGGUGCGCCUGCUGCUCGGCUGGAAGGCCAACAUCAACGCCCGCGACCGAUGGGGCAGCACGCCAGCAGCGGAUGCUAAACAUUACGGGCACUUUGAAGUGUACAACCUUCUCAGAGCAAGAGGAGCAAAACUUCCGAAAACCAAAAAGACUCCAAUGACUGUGUCAAAUCCCAAAGAAGUUCCAGAGUAUGAACUGAACCCUCUUGAACUCGAGUUCCGAAGAGGAGAGGAGGUUACAAAGGGUUACUAUGUAGCCAAAUGGUAUGGCUCCAAAGUUUUCGUGAAGAUACUUGACAAAGAUAGCUUCUCAGACGGAGAUAGCAUAGAGGCAUUCAAACACGAGCUUACUUUACUGGAGAAAGCGCGGCAUCCCAAUUUGGUCCAAUUUGUGGGAGCUGUUACACAAAAUGUACCACUGAUGAUUGUUUCAGAAUACCACCAAAAAGGUGAUCUAGCGAGCUAUCUUGAGACAAAAGGUCGCGUGCAAUCUUAUAAAGCGAUCAGGUUUGCCCUUGACAUUGCAAGGGGACUAAAUUAUCUUCACGAGUGCAAGCCAGAGCCAAUCAUCCACGGUGAUCUGUCACCAAAAAACAUUGUGCGGGAUGAUGAAGGAAAACUUAAGGUGGCAGGCUUUGGAUCACUUGAUCUGACAAAAGUCUCCCAAGAUAAACUACAGAUGGUUCAGCCAGUGUCAAAUUUUGACAGUGUAUACAUUGCUCCUGAAAUGUACAGAAACGAAGCAUUUGACAGAAGUGUGGAUACAUUUGCGUUCGGUCUCAUUCUUUACGAGAUGAUUGAAGGAUCUCCUGCAUUUCACCCAAAGCCUCAAGAGGAAGCGGCCAAGAUGAUUUGUUCAGAGGGUUUGAGACCAUUAUUCAAGAAUAAACCCAAAUCAUAUCCUGAGGGUGUGAAAGAGCUAAUACAAGAGUGCUGGGAUCCAACACCUUCCGUCAGGCCAACGUUCUCGGAUAUAAUUGUACGCCUGAACAAGAUAUCUGCAAGUUGUUCCAAGCAAACUCGCUGGAGAGACAACUUCAAGCUACCAUGGUACAGCUCUCGCUGA